rnacentral:rRNA from 1 species
ACGCUCGACACCUACGGGAUGCAGCAGUGGGGAAUAUUGCACAAUGGGGGAAACCCUGAUGCAGCGACGCCGCGUGAGUGAAGAAGUAAUUCGUUAUGUAAAGCUCUAUCAGCAGGGAAGAAAGUGGCGGUACCUGAGUAAGAAGCCCCGGCUAACUACGUGCCAGUAGCCGCGGUAAUCUGAGCGGGCUGGCAAGGC